UACGAAGGGGGCUAGCGUUGCUCGGAAUUACUGGGCGUAAAGCGCACGUAGGCGGCUUUCUAAGUCGGGGGUGAAAUCCUGGAGCUCAACUCCAGAACUGCCUUCGAUACUGGAGAGCUUGAGUCCGGGAGAGGUGAGUGGAACUGCGAGUGUAGAGGUGAAAUUCGUAGAUAUUCGCAAGAACACCAGUGGCGAAGGCGGCUCACUGGCCCGGUACUGACGCUGCGGUGCGAAAGCGUGGGGAGCAAACAGG
rnacentral:rRNA from 1 species